rnacentral:rRNA from 1 species
AAAACGACUCUCGGCAACGGAUAUCUCGGCUCUCGCAUCGAUGAAGAACGUAGCGAAAUGCGAUACUUGGUGUGAAUUGCAGAAUCCCGUGAACCAUCGAGUCUUUGAACGCAAGUUGCGCCCCAAGCCUUCUGGCUGAGGGCACGUCUGCAUGGGUGUUACAA